rnacentral:rRNA from 1 species
UUAGGCGGACGGGUGGAGUAACGACGUGGAAAACCUAGCCGUAUACUGGGGGAGUAACACUUAGAAAUAAGGUGCUAAUACCGCAUAAGCGCACAGCUUCGCAUGAAGCGGUGUGAAAAACUCUGGUGGUAUACGAUGGUUCCGCGUCUGAUUAGCUAGUUGGUGGGGUAAUGGCCUACCAAGGCAACGAUCAGUAGCCGGCCUGAGAGGGUGAACGGCCACAUUGGGACUGAGACACGGCCCAAACUCCUACGGGAGGCAGCAG